CCCUUAGAUGUUCUGGGCUGCACGCGCGCUACACUGACGCACGCAACAGGUGCCUGCUCCGAGAGGACUGGGUAAUCAUUUGAGUGUGCGUCGUGAUGGGGAUAGAAUAUUGUAAUUAUUACUCUUCAACGAGGAAUUCCUAGUAAGCGCCAGUCAGCAGCUUGCGCUGAUUACGUCCCUGUCCUUUGUACACACCGCCCGUCGCUCCUACCGAUGGGUGAUCCGGUGAAUGAUUCGGACUUCAGCGGCUCCCCUGGGGUGCGCCGGAGAAAGUUUUGUGAACCUUAUCACUUGGAGGAAGGAGAAGUCGUAACA
rnacentral:rRNA from 1 species